rnacentral:rRNA from 1 species
UACGUAGGCGGAAUAUUAAGUCAGUGGUGAAAUCCUGCGGCUCAACCGUAGAACUGCCAUUGAUACUGAUAUUCUUGAAUGUAGUUGAGGUAGACGGAAUGUGUAAUGUAGCGGUGAAAUGCUUAGAUAUUACACAGAACACCGAUUGCGAAGGCAGCUUACUAAACUAUGAUUGACGCUGAGGCAUGAAAGCGUGGGGAGCGAACAGGAUUAGAUACCCUGGUAGUCC